AGGUCACAUUCCUUUUUGCAGACACUCACGCCUGGGGUCUGAGCUAUUUAUUGCAGACGCUCUGCUACCCACUUUCAUUUCCUGCAUGGUCUAGAUGGACACAGAUAGAGACAGAGUAGGGGUGGACUGUGACUCUCAUAACAGGGAUCCUAACAAUGGCUGCAUCCUUCCUGGAUCCUGCAGCUGAGGGACAGGUGGCAGGGAGGCCAGGCAUCAGCCUGGGACCAUGAUUUGGGCAGGAGGGAGCUGGGAUCAUGGUCUUGGAGGAUGGAGGAGGGAAAGGAUUGUCAAGAGAGGGAGAUGCAGAGGCUCCCUGGGUAACCAGGGCUCCGAUCACCUAUACACGUUCUCCACUCUUCAUCGAAGGUGCCUUUCUUGCAUCCCAACUCCAUCUCCCUCCUCCUCAGGAGUUCACCCUCAAAACAACAGCACACAGGGGAACUGUCCUCCUUUUAUUCAAGCAUCUAUGGUCAACACAUGGCUAAAAGGGGCCUGUGCUGUGCUCUGCUAACACAUUCCCUUUCCUCUGCAUAGUAUCCUGGGGCUGGGGGUAUCUUACCCCCAUUUCACAGAUAAGGGGACUUUCAUCCCCUUGGAGAGUAAAGGUGACGCACAGGUGGCCUUGGAAUCAGAAUUCCAUUCAGGGAUACUGACUACAGAGACUCCACUCUUUCCACCCAUGAUUCUUUUAUGCAUUCAUUCAAAAGUUAUUUUUGACCUUGCGCACAUGCAGCUGUUCUGCUAGGUGCUGGUGAGACAGAAAUAAGCAAAAUGGUCACAGAGCUUGUCCCCAUGUCCUCGCAUUUCAGGAGGAAGACAGAUCCCUCCCUCUCAAGGUAACCAGCACAUGACCUGGUGGUAAAUCACAGUCAUGGCCAUGGAAGAAUGACAGCUAUGUAGUUUGAGGACAGAGGUGUGAGGUGGUUGUGGGGAUGGGAUAUGGACUGUGUGACCAGCAAGCUGUCUCUGGGCAGGUGACAUUUAAACUGGAAGAGCAGGAAGAAAAGUAUUUAAGGAAAAAGGGAGAGCAAGGAUGAAGGCUGUGGGGUCUGAAACAGGAUCAGAGGGAAGGCAAGAGAAACUGGAGUAAAAUGAGGAGGGGAGAAGGAAGCUGUAAGGUCAGAGGGGUGGGAGGGCCCAGGUCCUGCAGGGCCUUGCAGACCAAGAUAAGGAGUCUGGAAUUUUUCCCGGGUGUGAUGGAGGGUUUUAAGAAAAUCAACAAGUCCCUUCUUUCAAGAUGCCUAUAUUUUCCUUUUAAAGCCACACCUGCAGCAUAUGGAAGUUCCCAGGCUAGAGGUGGAAUGGGAGCUGCAGCUGCCAGCCUAUGCCACAGCCACAGCAACAUCAGAUCUUUAACUCACUGAGUGAGGCCAGGGAUUGAACCUGCAACCUCAUGGAUAUUAGUCAAGUUCAUAACCCGCUGAGCCACAACAGGAACUCUCAUGCCCAUAUUUCAGAGCAGGAUUUCUUAACCUCAGUGCUGUUGACAUAGGGGCUGAGUAACUGUUGUAGGGGCCCAUUCAGGCUGGUCUGGGAUGAUGGUAUGUGCAGCAGCAUCCCUGACUUAUUCCCACUAGAAGCCAGCAGCAUCUCCCCCACCCCACCCCACCCCACGUCAUGAAAAUCUAACAUCUUAAGAUAUCACCAAACACCCCCACCCUCCUUGGGAACCAAUGACCCAACGCACCUGUGGUUUACUUGUUGCCAUCACAAAAUUUAAGGCUGGUGAUCUCUGGGGCCCUCCUCCACACAGGGACUGAGGAAUUGGGGCUCCACCACUUGGGAGCCCUCUGUUUCCACAUGACAUAUGGGGAAAAGAGAGGACAAGGCCUGGACCUGAGUAGGCCUACCAUUCCCCCCGACCCCUUCACCCCGGUCCAGGGGCCAGAAAUCAAUCCUGUGGCCCCACCUACCUGCAGGGAGGUGGGGGAACAUGCAAUCUCCUCUUGCAUUCAGGAUGUAGAAAUGGGUUUGGUGGCAUAAAGCAUUGCCUCUUCAUGAUGAACUCAGCUCACUGAAUGCUCACAACACCUGAGCAGGCAGGAGUUCCAUCUUUCCAGCACUUACUGUAACACACGCCAGUGGUCAGAGGAGGGCACCACAGGGAAGGCUACAGGCUGGGUCCCCUGGAUCUCAGCCUGAAGGUGAUCCACAUAGGUGAUGGCAGCAAUAGGUCCUGCCAGCAUUCCAGCCUCUUCUGCCAGCAAGAAGCCUGAGUUUUGUUUGGAGAGGUGAGGCCUCCCACCCAGGGUCGGCACGUGACCCAAGUCCCAGCCAAUGAGUGAGGUACCUUCUCAGGCCACCAGUCCUGGUUUAAGGUCACUUCAGCCUGCUUGGUCAGCAUAAGCCUCAAGAUUUGCUGAGGAUGCCAUGACAGAGACUUCCCUUUCCUCCGCUGGGUGUGGACCCAAUGCUGCUGGCAGCCAUCUUGUGAUGAUGAGGGAAAGCAGGUCUGAGAACGGAGAUAACUUGGAGAAAGUGGGGAGAUGGAGUAAAACCGGCUCCAGGUGACAUUUGUGCCCCUCUGUCUAACCUCCUUGGCAGUCAGACAUACCCAUGAACUUUCUAGUUAUACAAACCAGAAGUUCCUGUUUUUUGCCACUUGCGACCAGAAAAGCACUGAACAUCAUACAUUUCCCCUUCAAACCCAGAGAUACCUAGCAAAUGGGAAGAGGUUGGACCUACAGGAUAGACGACCUGUGGACCCAACUUUUAGGUAUGCCAGAAUUGGAAGCUGGAAGCUGAGAUCAAGGGCAGCUAGAAAUUGAAUUAUUUCUAGUAUCAGGAUAGAGUUGCCUGACAAGCCACCUUGACUUAGAAGCCCAAUUAAAGAAAAUAAUAUCCAACACUGGUCUGGCUUAUGAAUCACUAAUCUAACCUGACCACAACCCUAAGCAGUUACCUCUGAGAUCCCCAUUUUACAGAGUGAGGAGGUUCAGAGAGGCUAAGCAACCAACCCAAGGUCACCCAGCUAGAGAUGGGAGAUUUGAGAGCCAAAUUAGGUUUCUCUGACUCCAUAGCCACGUGUUGCACUGUGUGUGUGUGUGUUUAAUAUAAAUUCUAACAUCUUUCCUAAACUAGCCUUUUGUUUUCAUCCAAGGCUGAGAUUUAUCUGGCCAUCCAUGCUCGUCUCCAAAAGAAGGCUUGGGGAUGCCAGAGUGCCCCUCCCUUCAUCUCCCCCUCCUCGGGUCCUGUGUUUGGGUAACAGCGCCUUUGAUAGAGUACAUAUUUAAGCAUUCCCAGGGCCCAAAACAUCUGCUGUGGGAUGCUUGCCUUCUCUCCGGCAGGUGCGUGGCUCUGCGUGGGAGAGACAGCAGUGUGGAGAAGACUGCGCUAUAAACGUCAGAACGAUAUUCACACCCGACUGUCUAAGAAUUAACAAGCCUUUGGAGAACGGCUUUGGUCCCAGCUCCAGGCAUGGGAGAUACACCCCCUUCAGGGAUGGUGCAUCGUGGAGACCGCAUGGGGUUGUGUUUUGGAGGUGUGGGUGCGCAUGCACAUUCCUAUGCACACAGCCCCAUCAGGACCGAAGGAGCCCAGUAGAGCCCAGCGAGUGAGUCAGCUCCUGCCCCCACUGGGGGAGGGAAGCAGGGUGAUGGGGAUGUUUUCAGAUGGAACGCUGCUUCCUGCCACCUAAAGGUG
rnacentral:lncRNA from 1 species